GUAAGAAGCCACUGAGAGCCCAGGAGAGAAGGACGUGCGCUUCUUCCUUCUGAGGUCCACAGAAACCUGGACAGAGGAGCUCAUUGUCAGCCACCACGCUAAACACAGAGUCACGGACCAUGGACUGUAUGCUCCGCAACCAGCCAAAGCAGAAGAAACUGAGGCACAGGGAAUCUUAGCUAGUGCAAGCAGCAGUGCUAAGAUUUGAAUCCAUGCGGUGAAGUCUUCCUUUUCACGCCUGAAGUCUGUAGACAACGGACAUAAGCUGGAAAACAUUUGGACUUGCAAGGGAACCCAAGCCUAAAGUUGUAUUUUACCAUUUGUCCGUGUGACUUUUCUUGUAUCACUACUGAAAAUAUACGUGAAGGUGAAGCUUAGUGGGACUGGGGAGGUGGCUCAGUGGUUAGGACUGCUCUCGAGGACCUGAGUUCGGGUCCCAGUACUUACACUGGACUAGGAAAGUUUGGCUCAUAACUGCCUGUAACUCCAUCCUUGGGGGAAUCAAGGCCAUCUUCUGGCCUCUGGGGGCACCUUCACCCAUGUGCACGCGCGUAUCCACACACAAACAUACAUCUCUAGACACAUAAUUCAAAAUUAAAAUUUUCAUGGAGGGGAACAAUUUUAUGGGGCUUUACCCCUAGACAAAGAACUACAGGCAGCUAAGGAGAGCUGGGACUGAGAGAGUUGAUCUUCCCCAGGGAUGAGCCCCUUUAAUUCGCUACCCAGUGCCAACUGGCCAUCCCUGAAGUCAUAUGCGUCCAAGCGACAGUAAAUGGAUGCAGUGGGCUGUGUUUAUAUAUUUAUGCAUAUAUAUAUAAUGUAAGAGUAGCAACUAAAGAAAA